rnacentral:rRNA from 1 species
UUGACCUCAAAUCAGGUAGGACUACCCGCUGAACUUAAGCAUAUCAAUAAGCGGAGGAAAAGAAACUAACAAGGAUUCCCCUAGUAACUGCGAGUGAAGCGGGAAAAGCUCAAAUUUAAAAUCUGGCGGUCCUCUGGGCCGUCCGAGUUGUAAUCUGGAGAAGCGUUUUCCGCGUCGGACCGUGUACAAGUCUUCUGGAACGGAGCGUCGUAGAGGGUGAGAAUCCCGUCUCUGACACGGACCGCCGAUGCUUUAUGUGAUACGCUCUCGAAGAGUCGAGUUGUUUGGGAAUGCAGCUCAAAAUGGGUGGUAAAUUCCAUCUAAAGCUAAAUAUUGGCGAGAGACCGAUAGCGAACAAGUACCGUGAGGGAAAGAUGAAAAGCACUUUGGAAAGAGAGUUAAACAGUACGUGAAAUUGUUGAAAGGGAAACGUUUGAAGUCAGUCGCGUCGGCCGAGACUCAACCUUGCCAUCUCGGCUCGGUGCACUUCUCGGUUGACGGGUCAGCAUCAAUUUCGGCCGUCGGAUAAAGGCCGAGGGAACGUGGCACCUUUCGGGGUGUGUUAUAGCCCUCGGUUCGCAUACGACGAUUGGGAUUGAGGAACUCAGCGCGCCUUCAUCGGUCGGGGCUUCGGCUCACGUUAACGCGCUUAGGAUGCUGGCAUAAUGGCUUUAAGCGACCCGUCUUGA